GACGACCUUGAGAACCGUACCACUUUUGGAAUAUGUGGACGCUGUUCCCUUGUUCCACACUGUCCCUUCAAACAUCAAGACAUGGGAAUGACGGAACCGUGUAGGAUGAGGUCCAUGUCUCAGAGGAGAUACUCAUCAUGGAGUUUCAGAGAUCG